rnacentral:rRNA from 1 species
GAUGAACGCUGGCGGCGUGCCUAAUACAUGCAAGUCGAGCGAACGGACGAUAAGCUUGCUUUUCUGAUGUUAGCGGCGGACGGGUGAGUAACACGUGGAUAACCUACCUAUAUGACUGGGAUAAGUUCGUGAAACCGGAGCUAAUACCGGAUUAUAGUUUGAUCUGCAUUGUUCAAAAGUGAAAGACGGUCUUGCUGUCAUUUAUAGAUGGAUCCGCGCUGCAUUAGCUAGUUGGUAAGGUAACGGCUUACCAAGGCAACGAUGCAUAGCCGACCUGAGAGGGUGAUCGGCCACACUGGAACUGAGACACGGUCCAGACUCCUACGGGAGGCAGCAGUAGGGAAUCUUCCGCAAUGGGCGAAAGCCUGACGGAGCAACGCCGCGUGAGUGAUGAAGGUCUUCGGAUCGUAAAACUCUGUUAUUAGGGAAGAACAUAUGUGUAAGUAACUGUGCACAUCUUGACGGUACCUAAUCAGAAAGCCACGGCUAACUACGUG